UUGACAUCCCGAGAACUUUCCAGAGAUGGUGUGGUGCCUUCGGGAACUCUGAGACAGGUGCUGCGUGGCUGUCGUCAGCUCGUGUUGUGAGAUGUUGGGUUAAGUCCCGCAACGAGCGCAACCCUUAUCCUUUGUUGCCACCGGUCCGUUGGGCACUCUAAAGGAAAAGGCGGGGGAUAACCUGAAGAAAGGGGGGAAUGACUUCAAUUCUUCAGGGCCCUUACUAGUGGGGUUA
rnacentral:rRNA from 1 species